ensembl:misc_RNA 7SK 7SK RNA
GGCUGUGAAGGCAAUAUGUCUGGACACCUGCCAUCUCAUUGAUCACCAGAGUUGGUUUGAUGGAUCUGGCUGGAUUAGUUCUUCCUCCCUUGUUGCUCCAUGAACGUCUCUCCCGAGGUUGUGAUCUUGGUGGAAGAGGACAACCUUUCCCAAUACAGGAGGACCAUUCUAGAGCCAAAGGCACAGAGCAUCCUUAUUUCCUGACUAGAACCUUGUAACAAGGUCUCAGGGGAUUCCUGGAGAAAGGAUGUCUGUAGACUCAGGCCUGUUCUUGGUUCAACCCAAUUGCUUCAGAAUGAAGCCAGACUU